rnacentral:rRNA from 1 species
GACGAACGCUGGCGGCGUGCUUAACACAUGCAAGUCGAACGGAAAGGCCCUGCUUUUGUGGGGUGCUCGAGUGGCGAACGGGUGAGUAUCACGUGAGUAACCUGCCCUUGACUUUGGGAUAACUUCAGGAAACUGGGGCUAAUACCGGAUAGGAGCUCCUGCUGCAUGGUGGGGGUUGGAAAGUUUCGGCGGUUGGGGAUGGACUCGCGGCUUAUCAGCUUGUUGGUGGGGUAGUGGCUUACCAAGGCUUUGACGGGUAGCCGGCCUGAGAGGGUGACCGGCCACAUUGGGACUGAGAUACGGCCCAGACUCCUACGGGAGGCAGCAGUGGGGAAUAUUGCACAAUGGGCGGAAGCCUGAUGCAGCAACGCCGCGUGCGGGAUGACGGCCUUCGGGUUGUAAACCGCUUUCGCCUGUGACGAAGCGUGAGUGACGGUAAUGGGUAAAGAAGCACCGGCUAACUACGUG